GACUAAAGUGAAUGCAGAAGAGGCUGAAAUUUUCUGAAAGGUUUGUGGAAAUGCCAUUUGGUUCACCCUUUGAGUCGUUUGUACUGAAAUGAAGAGCGCUUUUAGAAAGACACAACAUUAAAGUCGCGGAAGGCUUUUCAGCCACAAUAAAGUCAUCUCUUCAGUGAAGGAUGAAGAUAAUUGAGCUUAUUUCUUUUUCAAACAGCCAUCAACAACAAUCAGUGACUACAGUUCCUGAUAAUGUCAAAAGAAGGCUCUUCUCAAUGUGAAAAUGGAGAGCUCCCUGCCUUGUUCUUAAGAACAGGAGCUUUUCCUCUCUCCAUCUCUUUCACUUGUUAAAAAUUUCAAAGUUCUAUCAAGCACCUAAUCCUUUUAGAGGAUAAAUAUUAGACACGAUUUGACUGCCAGAACACAAAAUGAAAUAUAUGACUAGCAAUAAUAUUGCUAGUACGAUAGUUAUCUGUAUGGGGCUUGCCUGGGAUACACGGUGCCUAGAUUUCAAUAUCAUUUUCAGGAUACACCUGUGAAAGUGAUGCUUGGUGAGAGUGACAUAUUGGUUCAUCAUCAACUCCAGUGUGGAAGACUUCCAUCAAUCUCAGCCAUUAGAGGCAUGAAUAGAAUGGAAGGCUGAGUCAGAGCAUUGUGUCUCUACCUGACUUUAUUUGAGUGGGAGCAUCAAGACUGCUGUCUCCAACUUUAGACUUGAACUAGAAUCUGUGUCAGUAGCUGAUCUAGAUUUCCAGUCUGCUAUUAGGCAUGUUUGGACAUCUUAGCGUUCUUAAUCAUGAGAAUCUUAGAGCAAAUCUCCGAAGAGCCCAGACCACUACAAUAGAAAAAUUAAAGCACAUAUAUUAUAGAGUCACUGAAACUAAAGUCUCAACACUUUGAUAAAGACACAAGAACAGACUGUCCUGAUGUGGGAUUCCCCUUUCAAUGCUGUGAAUACCGUAGUUGAAUAAAGAAACUGCCUUGCCCU